AUGGCCGGCGCUGCACAGGGCAAGCAGAGUAGAGAGGCCCAUGGUAACAACGAUAUCGGCGUCGCCAAGGACUACCUCGACCCUCCGGCGGUGCGGCUGUUCGACGCCAGCGAGCUUGGCCAGUGGUCCCUGUACCGCGCCAUCAUCGCCGAGUUCAUGGCCAGUCUGCUCUUCGUCUACGUCUCCGUCGCCACCGUGAUCGGCCACAAGCGGCAGACGGACGCGGAAGCGUGCAGCGGCGCCGGCGUGCUGGGCAUCGCGUGGGCCUUCGGCGGCAUGAUCGCCGUCCUCGUCUACUGCACCGCCGGCAUCUCCGGCGGCCACGUCAACCCCGCCGUGACGUUCGGGCUGCUGCUGGCGAGGAAGCUGUCGCUCCCCCGCGCCUUCCUCUACACGUCGGCGCAGUGCCUCGGCGCCAUCUGCGGCGCGGCGAUGGUCAGGGCCGUGCACGGCGCGCGGUACUACGAGCUCUACGGCGGCGGCGCCAACGAGGUCGCGCCGGGGUACUCCAAGGCGGGGGGGCUGCUGGCCGAGGCGGCCGGCACCUUCGUCCUCGUGUACACCGUGUUCUCGGCCACCGACCCGAAGCGCAUGGCGCGGGACACCCACGUGCCGGUGCUGGCGCCGCUGCUCAUCGGGUUCGCGGUGGUGGUGGCGCACCUGGCCACCAUCCCCGUCACCGGCACCGGGAUCAACCCGGCGAGGAGCCUGGGUGCCGCCGUGGUGUACAACAACAGCAAGGCGUGGAGCGAGCAGUGGAUCUUCUGGGUCGGGCCGUUCUCCGGCGCCGCCGUGGCCAUGGCGUACCACCAGUACAUCCUCAGGGGCGGUGCCGCCGCCAAGCCACACUUCAACUUCGACAAUGGAUUCCGACGCCUCGGCUGUUGA
rnacentral:rRNA from 1 species